GUGAUGAUUUAGAUAUUUCUGUUUAUGGUUAUUACCUGAAUAAUCAUGUGGAUACUAUUCUAGGGCGGUCUGAGUAA